ACCCACAACUGGUUUUUCUUGGCGUUCUUCGCAGUUGGUCUAAGCCAGGUGGUUGAAGACUGGGGAGCUUUCACAUCUCUGUGCAGUGGAGAUCUGUCUCCGCGCUCUCCCCUGCGUCCCUUCACACGGCCGUUUAAGGUUUCCGUCCCUGAUAGUGGAAACUGGCGCUAGUCCCCCUGUAGAGACUGUUGGGGGGGCGCAGAAGAAAGUGGGGAUCGGAGGGCACUUGUCUGUCGGCCGCUUCCCGCUUAGACCAGAGACAGAGAUUGAAAAUGCCUUUUCCUCAAACCUGCCGCUAUCCCGCUAUCAUCCCGCUAUCCCGCUAUCAUCCCGCUAUCCCGCUAUCCCGAGCCUCUGAUCAUAGUGGGGGCCAGCGGCAAAGUAAGAUCCAGGAAAAGAUAAAAACUUGCAGACAUCGAAACUAAGUGCAAGACAGACAAUGCAGGGCCAUCACGAUAGAUGGAGCAGAUAGAUGGAGCAUGUCAGGGUGGAGGCCGCUCACCCAAGGAUGUAUGGUCUGGGUCUCCGACAAGCAUUCGCUCUCUUUGCCCAAAGGUGUACAUACUUUGAGAUACUCUGGGAAUGGUGCGCCUCUGGGCUUAUUCGGGCACACCUUUGACACCUGUGAGUCUCUUGAAGAAAUGCUGGCAUGAGGUGUUGGAACAAGGUGCCUAAGGGAGAAGAGAGAAUACUUAGAAUAGACUGAGGUCAAUCUGUCUCUUAGCCAGCAGAAGUUAGUGACUUCCUCAGCCACACAGGUCUGGCUAGAGACAGGGAGACAGGGGGAAAAAAAAUCAAGGGACUCAGGUCGACCAACAACACACAUGCCACAGAGAUGAUGGCGUACAUGCCAACCAGGGCUCUCAAGUAGGACUGGAGAAUCUUUGGAUAAUUAGAAUGGAGAAUUCUCAGUGAGGUGGUUACCCACUAUAUUUAGGGAAUACGUGAUGGGUUUGCCAGUGAAGUAGGGGGAAGAUUUGGGGCUUUUUUUCUGACUGUUAAGAUACUCAGAAAUGUAUUUCACAGAUGAGAGGAAAAUCUUUGGGACUCUUUGAGUUCCAAAAGUUUGGGUAUAAAGCAUUCCACCGUUUUUCAUCUAGAAGGGGAGACCUUUCAUUCCAGGAUUCUCUUUGCCUAGAACACAGAGGGUAACAAGAUUCGGUGCCAAUCUCCCCAAUGUCCCCUUCCAGGGAAGAAAGAGCCAAGGGGAGAGGGUCUUGGAUCACUUAGCAGGCUCUUUCCUCUCUUGGGUGUUCUGAGAAGGGUUUACCAGGCAGGCCUUAGGCUGAGGAUGAAAUUAAGGUGCACUCAGGUGAUAGAUGUGACUCUGUGCAAGCUUCCCCUAAUAGUCACCUAUUUAUUAUCCUUGAGGGGCCGACUUCUCUAGGGCAGUUCACUUCCCCCUCCCCCACUCGGAUACUGAACUAACAAAAUGAUCGUUGUAAUUGUGACUUACAUACUGGAUCUGAAACCAGAGGUACAGGUGUAAGAUCCACAACAGCAGUCGGCCACCAGGGGCGGCUGCAGAGCCAAGGGUGAGGUGGUGUGCAGCCAAGAACCUGGGGCCAUUUUGAAUUUUGACCUCUGGGGAACGCAGCCUGGGCAGGUCCCAUCCUCUUUGCAUUCCAUUUUAGAAGAAUAAAUACUUUCUAGAG
rnacentral:lncRNA from 1 species